GAUGAACGCUGGCGGCGUGCCUAAUACAUGCAAGUCGAGCGAACGGACGAGAAGCUUGCUUCUCUGAUGUUAGCGGCGGACGGGUGAGUAACACGUGGAUAACCUACCUAUAAGACUGGGAUAACUUCGGGAAACCGGAGCUAAUACCGGAUAAUAUUUUGAACCGCAUGGUUCAAAAGUGAAAGACGGUCUUGCUGUCACUUAUAGAUGGAUCCGCGCUGCAUUAGCUAGUUGGUAAGGUAGCGGCUUACCAAGGCAACGAUGCAUAGCCGACCUGAGAGGGUGAUCGGCCACACUGGAACUGAGACACGGUCCAGACUCCUACGGGAGGCAGCAGUAGGGAAUCUUCCGCAAUGGGCGAAAGCCUGACGGAGCAACGCCGCGUGAGUGAUGAAGGUCUUCGGAUCGUAAAACUCUGUUAUUAGGGAAGAACAUACGUGUAAGUAACUGUGCACAUCUUGACGGUACCUAAUCAGAAAGCCACGGCUAACUACGUG
rnacentral:rRNA from 1 species